GGCCUGGUGGUGUAGUGGGAACAUGUGUGCUCUAUAUUUUGCUUGAUCAAGUGUUUAGCAGGAGUCCCUCGUUCGAUUCGAGGUAGGGCUA